UUUACGAUAAACGGUUUUGGGGAAACCGCGGUCUGUUAGCCUAUAAUAGUGGUUCUUAACUGGUGUUCCGCAGAACGCAUGACGUGUUUCCUGGACAUAGAAAAACUGGUCCGUCAAAAUUCAACAUUUUUAAAUUAUUUUUUUAAUUAUUUAAAAUUGCAGUUUAAAAUUGUAUUUAUUAAUUUUAUUAUUUUUCAAUGAUUUAUAUUAUGUGUUUUAUUUUACAGCAGUGUUCCACAAAAAUCAUAUGAAAUAUUUAGAGUACCGUUAUUCGAAAAAUAUGAAGAACCACUGACUAUAAUAUCACUAGGUGCUUGAACUGGUCGUGUCUGAAAUAUAAUGCUGAAAACUAAAACAAAAUAAAAGUGGCAACAAUAAAUAGAUUAAGAACGUCCUCAUACUAAGUACCACAGUCAUAAUACUAAUCGUGACAAUUUAAAUCGUCAUACACGAUUUUAAAAAUACGUUUUUGUACUUUUCAUUUCCGGUCAACCAGUAGCUAGUCGCAGUAUUGAAUAAUAUACAGAAUAUAGCAAGGACGCCCGGAUGAAUUUUUUAAGGGUGAGGCCAACAAUUUUAAAUUAUUAUACAUACACAAU